GCUUGCUCUAGGGAAUUAGUGGCGAACGGGUGCAGUAACACGUGAGUAACCUGCCCUUGACUCUGGGAUAACCUCCGGAAACGGAAGCUAAUACCGGAUACGACGUACGGAGGCAUCUCCUGUACGUGGAAAGAACUUCGGUCAAGGAUGGACUCGCGGCCUAUCAGGUAGUUGGUGAGGUAACGGCUCACCAAGCCUACGACGGGUAGCCGGCCUGAGAGGGUGACCGGCCACACUGGGACUGAGACACGGCCCAGACUCCUACGGGAGGCAGCAGUGGGGAAUAUUGCACAAUGGGCGCAAGCCUGAUGCAGCAACGCCGCGUGAGGGACGACGGCCUUCGGGUUGUAAACCUCUUUUAGUAGGGAAGAAGCGAAAGUGACGGUACCUGCAGAAAAAGCACCGGCUAACUACGUGCCAGCAGCCGCGGUAAUACGUAGGGUGCGAGCGUUGUCCGGAAUUAUUGGGCGUAAAGAGCUCGUAGGCGGUCUGUCGCGUCUGCUGUGAAAACCCGAGGCUCAACCUCGGGCCUGCAGUGGGUACGGGCAGACUAGAGUGCGGUAGGGGAGAAUGGAAUUCCUGGUGUAGCGGUGGAAUGCGCAGAUAUCAGGAGGAACACCGAUGGCGAAGGCAGUUCUCUGGGCCGUAACUGACGCUGAGGAGCGAAAGCGUGGGGAGCGAACAGGAUUAGAUACCCUGGUAGUCCACGCCGUAAACGUUGGGCCGCUAGAUGUGGGGACCAUUUCCACGGGUUUCCGUGUCGCAGCUAACGCAUUAAGCGCCCCGCCUGGGG
rnacentral:rRNA from 1 species